GACGAACGCUGGCGGCGUGCUUAACAAAUGCAAGUCGAACGGUGAAGCGCCUUCCUUUUUGGUGGGUGUGGAUGAGUGGCGAACGGGUGAGUAACACGUGAGUAACCUGCCCCCUUCUUCUGGAUAACCGCAUGAAAGUGUGGCUAAUACGGGAUAUUCUGGGUCUGUCGCAUGAUGGGUCUGGGAAAGAUAUUGUUUCGGUGGGGGAUGGGCUCGCGGCCUAUCAGCUUGUUGGUGGGGUGAUGGCCUACCAAGGCGGUGACGGGUAGCCGGCCUGAGAGGGUGCACGGUCACACUGGGACUGAGACACGGCCCAGACUCCUACGGGAGGCAGCAGUGGGGAAUAUUGCACAAUGGGCGCAAGCCUGAUGCAGCGACGCCGCGUGAGGGAUGGAGGCCUUCGGGUUGUGAACCUCUUUCGCCAGUGAAGCAGGCCUGCCUCGUUUGUGGGUGGGGUGACGGUAGCUGGAUAAGAGGCGCCGGCUAACUACG
rnacentral:rRNA from 1 species